GUAGGUGGCAAGCGUUGUCCGGAAUCAUUGGGCGUAAAGCGCGCGCAGGCGGUUCUUUAAGUCUAGAUGUGAAAGGCCCACGGCUCAACCGUGGAGGGUCAUUGGAAACUGGAGAACUUGAGUACAGAAGAGGAAAGCGGAAUUCCACGUGUAAGCGGUGAAAUGCGUAGAGAUGUGGAGGAACACCAGUGGCGAAGGCGGCUUUCUGGUCUGUAACUGACGCUGAGGCGCGAAAGCGUGGGGGAGCAAACAGGAUUAGAUACCCUGGUAGUCCACGCCGUAAACGAUGAGUGCUAAGUGUUAGGGGGUUUUCCGCCCCUUAGUGCUGCAGCUAACGCAUUAAGCACUCCGCCUGGGAGUACGGCCGCAAGGCUG
rnacentral:rRNA from 1 species